rnacentral:rRNA from 1 species
UUUCUGAUCAGUGAAACUAAUCUCCUCGUGACAAAGCGAAGAUCCCCCUAUAAGACGAGAAGACCCUAUGGAGCUUAAAACAUAACAAUAUCUGGCAUUUUAAUUGUGUGUUUUUGGUUGGGGUGACCGCGGAGAAAAACUUAUCCUCCACAAUGAAUAAACUACAAGUUACAACUUUAAGUAUCAAAAAAUUGACAUUCAUGACCCAAUAAAUUGAUCAAUGAACUAAGUUACCCUAGGGAUAACAGCACAAUCCACCUUGAGAGCUCCUAUCGACAGGUGGGCUUAUGACCUCGAUGUUGGAUUAGGGCAUCCUAGUGGUGCAGCCGCUACUAAAGGUUCGUUUGUUCAACGAUUAAAGCCCCACGUGAUCUGA